rnacentral:rRNA from 1 species
AAUGAACGUUGGCGGCGUGGAUUAGGCAUGCAAGUCGAGCGAGAAUUUGCGAUUGGAAGCUUCGGCCGAAGAAAGUGAAGGAAAGCGGCAAACGGCGUAGUAAGGCGUAGGUACGUACCCUCGGGUCGGGAAUAGCCAUGGGAAACUGUGGGUAAUGCCCGAUAAUCUCUGCGGAGCAAAGGUGUGAUUCCGCCGGAGGAGCGGCUUACGUGAUAUUAGCUAGUUGGUGGGGUAAUGGCCUACCAAGGCAACGAUGUCUAGGGGGUGUGAGAGCAUGGCCCCCACGACCGGAACUGAGACACUGUCCGGACACCUACGGGUGGCUGCAGUCGAGAAUCUUCCGCAAUGGGCGAAAGCCUGACGGAGCGACGCCGCGUGGUGGAUGAAGGCCCUUGGGUUGUAAACACCUGUCAGAGGGGAUGAAAUCAUGGUUGGCAAUCCUUCCAUGUUGACAGAGCCUCAGAGGAAGCACGGGCUAAGUACGUGCCAGCAGCCGCGGUAAAG